rnacentral:rRNA from 1 species
GGAUUCCCCUAGUAACUGCGAGUGAAGCGGGAAAAGCUCAAAUUUAAAAUCUGGCAGUCUUUGGCUGUCCGAGUUGUAAUCUGGAGAAGCGUCUUCCGCGCUGGACCGUGUACAAGUCUCCUGGAACGGAGCGUCAUAGAGGGUGAGAAUCCCGUCUUUGACACGGACUACCAGUGCUCUGUGAUGCGCUCUCAAAGAGUCGAGUUGUUUGGGAAUGCAGCUCAAAAUGGGUGGUAAACUCCAUCUAAAGCUAAAUAUUGGCGAGAGACCGAUAGCGAACAAGUACCGUGAGGGAAAGAUGAAAAGCACUUUGGAAAGAGAGUUAAACAGUACGUGAAAUUGCUGAAAGGGAAACGCUUGAAGUCAGUCGCGUUUGCUAGGACUCAGCCUGGUUUCGGCCUGGUGCACUUCCUAGUAAACGGGCCAGCAUCACUUUUGGCCGCGGGAAAAAGGUUAGAGGAAUGUGGCACCCUCGGGUGUGUUAUAGCCUCUAGCUGUAUACCGUGGCUGGGAGUGAGGAACUCAGCACGCCUCUGGCGGGGCUUCGGCCACCUUCGUGCUUAGGAUGCUGGCGUAAUGGCUUUAAACGACCCGUCUUGAAACACGGACCAAGGAGUCUAACAUGCCUGCGAGUGUUUGGGUGGAAAACCCGAGCGCGUAAUGAAAGUGAUAGUUGGGACCUCUGUCGUGGAGGGCACCGACGCCCGGACCAGACCUUCUGUGACGGAUCCGCGGUAGAGCAUGUAUGUUGGGACCCGAAAGAUGGUGAACUAUGCCUGAAUAGGGUGAAGCCAGAGGAAACUCUGGUGGAGGCUCGUAGCGAUUCUGACGUGCAAAUCGAUCGUCAAAUUUGGGUAUAGGGGCGAAAGACUAAUCGAACCAUCUAG